GAUGAACGCUGGCGGUAUGCUUUACACAUGCAAGUCGUACGAGAGUUUUAACUCAAGUGGCGGACGGGUGAGUAACACGUAAGAAUUUGCCUUUAGGAGGGGGACAACAACUGGAAACGGUUGCUAAUACCCCAUAUGCUUUCGAGUGAAAUGGAUUUUUCCGCCUAGAGAGAAGCUUGCGGCUGAUUAGCUUGUUGGUGGGGUAAAGGCCUACCAAGGCGACGAUCAGUAUCUGGUUUGAGAGGACGAUCAGACACACUGGAACUGAGACACGGCCCAGACUCCUACGGGAGGCAGCAGUGGGGAAUCUUAGACAAUGGGGCAACCCUGAUCUAGCCAUGCCGCGUGAGUGACGAAGGCCCUAGGGUC
rnacentral:rRNA from 1 species